AGAUCUUUGAACCUCAUGGGGACAGAGCAGCAAGCAGAUGUUCUAUUUAGGGAUGGACACUUUCAGGUCACAUAUUUUCUGCAUUAAUCACCAUCUACUUUGAGGAUUAAAGCUGGAUAUCAACAACCAAAGAAACAUCAGAAAGCUUACAAACUCAUGGACACUGAACAACUCACUACUGAACGAAAAAUGGGACAAGAAAAGUGACUUUCCAUAAUCAAAUGAAAACAAAAACACAAUGUACCAAACUUAUGGGUGUUUGUAAAUCUCAUACUGGUGAUUUAACAGCACACCUGUGAGGUGAUAUUUUAUUUGUGCUGAAA